GACGAACGCUGGCGGCGUGCUUAACACAUGCAAGUCGAACGGAAAGGCCCUGCUUUUGUGGGGUGCUCGAGUGGCGAACGGGUGAGUAACACGUGAGUAACCUGCCCUUGACUUUGGGAUAACUUCAGGAAACUGGGGCUAAUACCGGAUAGGAGCUCCUGCUGCAUGGUGGGGGUUGGAAAGUUUCGGCGGUUGGGGAUGGACUCGCGGCUUAUCAGCUUGUUGGUGGGGUAGUGGCUUACCAAGGCUUUGACGGGUAGCCGGCCUGAGAGGGUGACCGGCCACAUAGGGACUGAGAUACGGCCCAGACUCCUACGGGAGGCAGCAGUGGGGAAUAUUGCACAAUGGGCGGAAGCCUGAUGCAGCAACGCCGCGUGCGGGAUGACGGUCUUCGGGUUGUAAACCGCUUUCGCCUGUGACGAAGCGUGAGUGACGGUAAUGGGUAAAGAAGCACCGGCUAACUACGUG
rnacentral:rRNA from 1 species